rnacentral:rRNA from 1 species
CACUCCUACGGGAGGCAGCAGUGGGGAAUUUUGGACAAUGGGCGAAAGCCUGAUCCAGCAAUGCCGCGUGUGUGAAGAAGGCCUUCGGGUUGUAAAGCACUUUUGUCCGGAAAGAAAUCCUUGGCUCUAAUACAGUCGGGGGAUGACGGUACCGGAAGAAUAAGCACCGGCUAACUACGUGCCAGCAGCCGCGGUAAUACGUAGGGUGCGAGCGUUAAUCGGAAUUACUGGGCGUAAAGCGUGCGCAGGCGGUUUGCUAAGACCGAUGUGAAAUCCCCGGGCUCAACCUGGGAACUGCAUUGGUGACUGGCAGGCUAGAGUAUGGCAGAGGGGGGUAGGAUUCCACGUGUAGCAGUGAAAUGCGUAGAGAUGUGGAGGAAUACCGAUGGCGAAGGCAGCCCCCUGGGCCAAUACUGACGCUCAUGCACGAAAGCGUGGGGAGCAAACAGGAUUAGAAACCCGGGUAGUCCCAUG